GAUGAACGCUGGCGGGAGGCCUAACACAUGCAAGUCGAGCGGUAGAAGGUCUUCGGAAACUUGAUAGCGGCGCAGGCGGGCGUAUCACGUGUGCGACCUACCUUUAUCUGGGGGAUUGCCUUUCGAAAGGAAGAUCAAUACCCCAUAAUGUAAUGAUUGUCAUCAAUUAUUAUUUAAAACUCCGGUGGAUUGAGAUGUGCAGUGGCCAGAUUAGAUAGUUGGUGAGGUAACGGCUUACCAAGACAAUGAUCCUUAGCUGUCCUGAGAGGGGGAUCAGCCACACUAGAACUGAAACACGGUCCGGACUCCAACGGUAGGCGGCGGUGGGGAAAGGUAUACAAUGGGCGGAAGCCUGACCUAGCCAAGCCGCGUGGGGGAAGGAGGUCUGCGGAUAGGAAAUGUCAAUUACUUGUGAAGAGGGAUAAUCAUACCAUCGUGAGGGUAGUUGACGGUACUGUAAGAAUAAGCACCGGCUAACUACGUG
rnacentral:rRNA from 1 species